rnacentral:rRNA from 1 species
UAACUGGAGAGUUUGAUCCUGGCUCAGAACGAACGCUGGCGGCGUGCCUAACACAUGCAAGUCGAACGAGAAAGUUUCCUUCGGGAAACCAGUAAA